rnacentral:rRNA from 1 species
AACGAACGCUGGCGGCAGGCCUAACACAUGCAAGUCGAGCGCCCCGCAAGGGGAGCGGCGGACGAGUGAGUAACGCGUGGGAACGUACCCUUUGCUACGGAAUAGCCUCGGGAAACUGGGAGUAAUACCGUAUGUGCCCUUCGGGGGAAAGAUUUAUCGGCGAAGGAUCGGCCCGCGUUGGAUUAGGUAGUUGGUGGGGUAAUGGCCUACCAAGCCGACGAUCCAUAGCUGGUUUGAGAGGAUGAUCAGCCACACUGGGACUGAGACACGGCCCAGACUCCUACGGGAGGCAGCAGUGGGGAAUCUUAGACAAUGGGCGCAAGCCUGAUCUAGCCAUGCCGCGUGAGCGAUGAAGGCCUUAGGGUUGUAAAGCUCUUUCAGUGGGGAAGAUAAUGACUGUACCCACAGAAGAAGCCCCGGCUAACUCCGUGCCAGCCGCCGCGGUAA